GGGGCCUUAGCUCAGCUGGCAGAGCGCCUGCUUUGCAAGCAGGAAGUCAGGAGUUCGAAUCUCCUAGGCUCCACCU
rnacentral:tRNA from 1 species